rnacentral:rRNA from 1 species
UACGUAGGGGGCAAGCGUUGUCCGGAAUUAUUGGGCGUAAAGCGCGCGCAGGCGGUCAUUUAAGUCUGGUGUUUUAAUCCCCGGGGACUCAACCCCGGUUCGCAUUGGAAACUGGAUGACUUGAGUGUAAGAGAGGAAAGUGGAAUUCCACGUGUAGCGGUGAAAUGCGUAGAGAUGUGGAGGAACACCGGAUGGCGCAAGGCAGCCCCCUGGGAUCGAGAUUG